GUGACCCGCUGGGUUGCCGAAACGCUCACACACCGAGCCAAGGGAGGGGGGAGCAGGGGAAAGCCAGAGUAAAGGGGGGCGAGGCCAUCAAUCCGCCGCCAGCUUCCUACGGGAUUGGGUGCGGCGCCGGGGAAAGGACAGCGCCAUGCACCAAUGGGGAUGGGGGGAGGACGCCGAGCCCAGGGAGGCGGGUUGUUAUUGGGUGGCUCGCGCGUCCCACCCUCUUCUCUCUCAGUCUCCCCCUCUGUUUCUUUUCCCGCCCACCCACCCUCCCUUCUUCUACGCACGCUGGCUCUCGCCUGCCCCUUUCCCCUGGCCCCGGACCCCCGCUCAGAGACGUGCGGGAGCUUGCCGAAAACGCCAGGCGACCGUGAAGCCCAGGCAGGAGCGCGAGGUGGCCGGGGGGCUGCCGAGCCCGCUGUCACCGAGCGAGCACAUGAGCGGGCCACCUCGCCAGGCGGGGAAGGGGGCGGGCUCCCGCAGCUUCGCGCCCAGUGCAGAGCCAGAGACCGUACGCUAGAGGGGGAAAUUAAAAAAAAAAAAAAAAAAAAAAAAAAAAAAGGGGGGGGGGCGACAGAGGGUCCCGAGCGCGUGACGGAGGAAACUGAGCUGGGCUGGGGUUUACUGCGCCAGGUGUGGCAGAGGAGGGGAAGCCUUCCGCCGGCGAUCGAGAGCGAUGGGCAGGUUUCCUCAAAAUCAAGAAGCUGCAGCAUGGGCCAAAGGAGAGAGAGAGGGGGGGUGCCAGAGAUGGCCCUCUCCCCCAUCUAACCGGCCGCCCUUUUCGGUGCCGCCUCCACCGCCAAACCUGCCGCCCCACAUCAGGCUUGAACGCGGCUAAUGCUAAUGGGCCUGGGAUCAAAGCCCAGGCAGUAAGAAGUCCUGCCCUGGACAGACGGACAGCAAAAGGGAAGGGCAGCUGCUGGAGACCAGAGAUAUUACCUUCCAGGAGAGAGAGAGGGAUGGCCGCUGAAGUCUCUGCUAUUGACUCACCAUAUGACCAACGGCAAGAACCAGGAACCCCUGUGCUUCAGCUACCCUUAUUUGGGAAAUGGAGAUAAUAAUACUUACCCACUCUGGCAAAAUAAGUUGAGAUCUGUGGUUUAAAAUGCUGUAAAAGUGCAAGGUAUUUUUUAUUUUCUAUGUAUUACAGUCCUUAAUGAGGAAAGUUUUUUAUGCAAAUUCAGGAAUGGUUGGUUUUCUAAUUUUAAUCUUUAUGAGCCAGAUUAUGAACCCUUUACUCAAAUUGGUACUUAUCUGAGUAACUCCACACCAAUAUGAGUAAGAGGUUUACAGUUUAAAUCUAUAAAAAUACAGAAGAGUAUUUCUCUGAAACUGUAGAAUGUUUUUUUUUCAGCAAGUUAUGAAAUAUUAAUUAUUUGGGGGUCUCAGACAAAUCUUUAGAGUUGGCAUUUGUAAAAGGGUAAUAAUUAUGAACAUAUUUUGGUAAUGAAAAUAUUAAUUAUAACAGCAGAAUCAAUGUUUAUUAAACAAUUUAGAUGCAACAAAAACAAUAAAAAGAAGGAAAUUUCCUUUUAUCUCACACUUCCGCAUAACAAAUUGCUACUUUUUUAUAUUUUUUUUUUAUAAUUAUGUAAGUGUUAGAUGUCAGUAAUAACUUUUAAUUUUCUGGUGCUGAUUGACUUGUGACAUGCAAUAAAUAUUUUUUCUAUUUUAA